AUACUUACUUGGCAGGGGAAACACCAUGACCAUGAAGGUGAUUUUCCCAGGGCGAGGCUCACCCAUUGCACUGCAACUGUGCUGACCUCUGCGAUUUCCCCAAAUGAGGGAAACUCGGCUGCACAAUUUGUGGUAGUGGCGGACCGCAUACGCACUCUUCCCUA
ensembl:snRNA U1 U1 spliceosomal RNA